rnacentral:rRNA from 1 species
CGCGUAGGCGGCCUGCUAAGUCGAACGUGAAAUCCCUGGGCUCAACCCAGGAACUGCGUCCGAUACUGGUUGGCUUGAAUCCGGGAGAGGGAUGUGGAAUUCCAGGUGUAGCGGUGAAAUGCGUAGAUAUCGGGAGGAACACCGGUGGCGAAGGCGGGACUCUGGGCCUACCCUGACGCUGAGGCGCGAAGGCGUGGGGAGGCAAACG